UGGGGAAUAUUGGGCAAUGGGCGAAAGCCUGACCCAGCAACGCCGCGUGAAGGAAGAAGGUCUUCGGAUUGUAAACUUUUGUCUUAUGGGACGAUAAUGACGGUACCAUAAGAGGAAGCCACGACUAACUACGUGCCAGCAGUCGCGGUAAUACGUAGGUGGCGAGCGUUAUCCGGAAUUAUUGGGUGUAAAGGGUGCGUAGGCGGGUCGUAAAGUCAGAUGUGAAAUGCGGAGGCUCAACCUCCGAACUGCAUUUGAAACUUACGAUCUUGAGUGGAGUAGAGGCAAGCGGAAUUCCCGGUGUAGCGGUGAAAUGCAUAGAUAUCGGGAGGAACACCAGUGGCGAAGGCGGCUUGCUGGGCUUUUACUGACGCUGAGGCACGAAAGUGUGGGGAGCAAACAGGAUUAGAUACCCUGGUAGUCCACACCGUAAACGAUGAUUACUAGGUGUAGGCCGGCUGAACCAGUCUGUGCCGCAGUUAACACAAUAAGUAAUCCACCUGGGGAGUACGGCCGCAAGGUUGAAACUCAAAGGAAUUGACGGGGGCCCGCACAAGCAGUGGAGUAUGUGGUUUAAUUCGACGCAACGCGAAAAACCUUACCAGGUCUUGACAUCCGACUAACGAAGUAGAGAUACAUUAGGUGCCUUUCGGGGAAAGUUGAGACAGGUGGUGCAUGGUUGUCGUCAGCUCGUGUCGUGAGAUGUUGGGUUAAGUCCCGCAACGAGCGCAACCCUUGUUGUCAGUUGCUACGCAAGAGCACUCUGGCAAGACUGCCGUUGACAAAACGGAGGAAGGUGAGGAUGACGUCAAAUCAUCAUGCCCUUUAUGACCUGGGCUACACACGUACUACAAUGGCGGUAAACAAAGAGGAGCGAAGUCGUGAGGCAGAGCAAAUCUCCAAAAGCCGUCUCAGUUCAGAUUGCAGGCUGAAACUCGCCUGCAUGAAGUUGGAAUUGCUAGUAAUCGUGAAUCAGCAUGUCACGGUGAAUACGUUCCC
rnacentral:rRNA from 1 species